rnacentral:rRNA from 1 species
GUCCACGCCGUAAACGAUGGAUACUAGCUGUUGGGCGCAAGUUCAGUGGCUAAGCGAAAGUGAUAAGUAUCCCACCUGGGGAGUACGUUCGCAAGAAUGAAAACUCAAAAGGAAUUGACGGGGGCCCGCACAAGCGGUGGAGCAUGUGGUUUAAUUCGAUGAUACGCGAGGAACAUUACCAAGGCUUAAAUGUAGAUUGACCGAUUUGGAAACAGAUCUUUCGCAAGACAAUUUACAAGGUGCUGCAUGGUUGUCGU